rnacentral:rRNA from 1 species
AUGCUGACAUGAGUAGCGUUAAAGGGGGUGAAAAGCCCCCUCGCCGUAAGCGCAAGGUUUCCUACGCAACGUUCAUCGGCGUAGGGUGAGUCGGCCCCUAAGGCGAGGCAGAGAUGCGUAGCUGAUGGGAAACAGGUCAAUAUUCCUGUACCGAUCAAUAGUGCGAUGUGGGGACGGAGAAGGUUAGCUCAGCCAACUGUUGGAUAUGUUGGUUCAAGCCUGUAGUCGUGCCUGGUAGGCAAAUCCGCCGGGCUUAGAUGAGGGGUGAUAACGAGUCUGCUUGCAGACGAAGUGAGUGAUACCCUGCUUCCAGGAAAAGCCACUAAGCUUCAGCUAUUGACGACCGUACCGCAAACCGACACUGGUGCGCGAGAUGAGUAUUCUAAGGCGCUUGAGAGAACUCGGGAGAAGGAAC